GCGGUCGUGGCGGAAUUGGUAUACGCGCUGGUUUUAGGUACCAGUCUCUUCGGGGAUGAGAGUUCGAGUCUCUCCGACCGCACCA
rnacentral:tRNA from 1 species